CGCACCUUGCGCUCCUUGGUAUUCCGAGGAGCAUGCCUGUUUGAGUGUCAUGGAAUUCUCAACCCAUAGAUCCUUGUGGUCUACGGGCUUGGAUUUGGAGGCUUGCCGGCCCUUACACGGGGUCGGCUCCUCUUGAAUGCAUCAGCUUGAUUCCGUGCGAAUCGGCUUUCAGUGUGAUAAUUGUCUACGCUGUGGCCGUGAAGCGUUUGGCGAGCUUCUAACUGUCCGUUAGGACAACUUCUUGACAUCUGACCUCAAAUCAGGUAGGACUACCCGCUGAACUUAA
rnacentral:misc_RNA from 1 species